AAUAGCUCACAUGUUAGUUGAGGAACAACUUCAGGCUGGUCAUUUAGAGCCUACACUCAGCCCUUGAAACACUUCCAUCUUUGUAAUUAAGAACACAAUCUGGUAAUUGGAGAUUAUUAUAAGACCUUAGAGCUAUUAAUCUUGUUAUAAAGCCCAUGGGAGCCUUAAAUCUGGGCUGCCUUCUCGUGCAGCUAUUCCUUUAGAUUAUUAUUUGACAGUAGUAGAUUUACAAGAUUGUUUUUUCCUUUGCACCCAGAUGGGUGUAAAGAGUUUGCGUUUAG
rnacentral:sRNA from 1 species